rnacentral:rRNA from 1 species
ACCUACGGGGCGCAGCAGUAGGGAAUUUUCGUCAAUGGGCGCAAGCCUGAACGAGCAAUGCCGCGUGAACGAGGAAGGUCUUCGGAUCGUAAAGUUCUGUUGAAGGGGAGAAAGAGCGGAGAGAGGAAAUGGUCUCCGAUUGAUAUUACCCUUCGAGGAAGUCACGGCUAACUACGUGCCGGCAGCCGCGGUAAUACGUAGGUGGCGAGCGUUAUCCGGAAUGAUUGGGCGUAAAGGGUGCGUAGGCGGCCUGCUAAGUCUGGAGUGAAAGGUACCGGCUCAACCGGUAUAGGCUCUGGAAACUG